rnacentral:sRNA from 1 species
CUAAAUUCCAGGAGGGUGAGCGAGUGCUAUGCUUUCAUGGGCCUCUUCUUUAUGAAGCAAAGUGUGUAAAGGUUGCCAUAAAGGACAAACAAGUGAAAUACUUUAUACAUUACAGUGGCUGGAAUAAAAAUUGGGAUGAGUGGGUUCCGGAGAGCAGAGUACUCAAAUACGUGGACACCAAUUUGCAGAAACAGCGAGAACUUCAAAAAGCCAAUCAGGAGCAGUAUGCAGAGGGGAAGAUGAGAGGGGCUGCCCCAGGAAAGAAGACAUCUGGUCUGCAACAGAAAAAUGUUGAAGUGAAAACAAAAAAGAACAAACAGAAAAGUAAGAAUAUUAACUUUCUUAACGUUAAUUUAUGUUAUCUCUAUGACAUUGACAUUUUUAUUUUGAAAGCUAUGAAAUUUUGGAGUAAGCUUAUGUUUAUUGAUUAUCUCAAAUAGGAGUCUCACGGCAGUGUUAUAAAAUAGGUACAUGAUGGUAGAGACCUCUUUUUACCAAGGAGAAACUUGUGAGCAUUAUUUUCAUCUGCUUUAGUCUUAAUGUCUCCCACUGAGAAGAUAACAUUUAUAAGUAAAUGGAAGAUGGUGAUACUAAAUAUUGUCUAUACUAAAUGUUUGGUAGAGCUCUUCAUGAAAGUUAUAUUUUUGGUAGGAAUAUGAUUCUUUAACUUAGAUUGAGGUAACAGCUGUGUAAUGGAGAAAUAAUGAAAAGGGAUAAUGUGUCAAGAGACUAUUUUCCUUAUAGAGUUUGUUAAAUUAGCUAAAUGAGACCCCUCCCCACCAACAUUUACAGCACCUGGAAAUGGAGAUGGUGGCAGUACCAGUGAGACCCCUCAGCCUCCUCGGAAGAAAAGGGCCCGGGUAGAUCCUACUGUUGAAAAUGAGGAAACGUUCAUGAACAGAGUUGAAGUUAAAGUAAAGAUUCCUGAAGAGCUAAAACCAUGGCUUGUUGAUGACUGGGACUUAAUUACCAGGCAAAAACAGCUCUUUUAUCUUCCUGCCAAGAAGAAUGUGGAUUCCAUUCUUGAGGAUUAUGCAAAUUACAAG